GACGAACGCUGGCGGCGUGCUUAACACAUGCAAGUCGAACGGAAAGGCCCUGCUUUUGUGGGGUGCUCGAGUGGCGAACGGGUGAGUAACACGUGAGUAACCUGCCCUUGACUUUGGGAUAACUUCAGGAAACUGGGGCUAAUACCGGAUAGGAGCUCCUGCUGCAUGGUGGGGGUUGGAAAGUUUCGGCGGUUGGGGAUGGACUCGCGGCUUAUCAGCUUGUUGGUGGGGUAGUGGCUUACCAAGGCUUUGACGGGUAGCCGGCCUGAGAGGGUGACCGGCCACAUUGGGACUGAGAUACGGCCCAGACUCCUACGGGAGGCAGCAGUGGGGAAUAUUGUACAAUGGGCGGAAGCCUGAUGCAGCAACGCCGCGUGCGGGAUGACGGCCUUCGGGUUGUAAACCGCUUUCGCCUGUGACGAAGCGUGAGUGACGGUAAUGGGUAAAGAAGCACCGGCUAACUACGU
rnacentral:rRNA from 1 species